AACUUCUCAGGAUCAUACUGGGAGAGUUUCUGGUACUCUACCAGCUUUGGCUGUGGGAGGGAAAGUCAGGCAGAGGCCUCCCCAUUCCAUUCCUAGCUCGGGCAGUGGCUAGCGAGUGGAAGGCAAUGUGCUACAAGU
rfam:Ornithorhynchus anatinus chromosome 1, whole genome shotgun sequence.